rnacentral:rRNA from 1 species
GCCCUUGGAAGGGGUGUAUUUAUUAGAUUAAAAACCAAUGCCCUUCGGGGCUCACUGGUGAUUCAUGAUAACUCCUCGAAUCGCAUGGCCUUGUGCCGGCGAUGGUUCAUUCAAAUUUCUUCCCUAUCAACUUUCGAUGUUUGGGUAUUGGCCAAACAUGGUUGCAACGGGUAACGGAGGGUUAGGGCUCGACCCCGGAGGAGGAGCCUGAGAAACGGCUACUACAUCCAAGGAAGGCAGCAGGCGCGCAAAUUACCCAAUCCCGACACGGGGAGGUAGUGACAAUAACUACUGAUACAGGGCUCUUUUGGGUCUUGUAAUUGGAAUGAGUACAAUUUAAAUCCCUUAACGAGGAACAAUUGGAGGGCAAGUCUGGUGCCAGCAGCCGCGGUAAUUCCAGCUCCAAUAGCGUAUAUUAAAGUUGUUGUGGUUAAAAAGCUCGUAGUUGAACCUUGGGCCUGGCUGGCCGGUCCGCCUCACCGCGUGUACUGGUCCGGCCGGGCCUUUCCCUCUGUGGAACCCCAUGCCCUUCACUGGGUGUGGCGGGGAACCAGGACUUUUACAAGGGC